ACUGGCCGUGCGACAUUGUGU
rnacentral:misc_RNA from 1 species